rnacentral:rRNA from 1 species
UGGGGAAUAUUGCACAAUGGGCGGAAGCCUGAUGCAGCGACGCCGCGUGGGGGAUGAAGGCCUUCGGGUUGUAAACCCCUUUCGACAGGGACGAAGCUUUUGUGACGGUACCUGUAUAAGAAGCACCGGCUAACUACGUGCCAGCAGCCGCGGUAAUACGUAGGGUGCGAGCGUCGUCCGGAAUUACUGGGCGUAAAGAGCUCGUAGGUGGUUUGUCGCGUCGUCUGUGAAAUUCCGGGGCUUAACUCCGGGCGUGCAGGCGAUACGGGCUGACUUGAGUGCUGUAGGGGAGACUGGAAUUCCUGGUGUAGCGGUGAAAUGCGCAGAUAUCAGGAGGAACACCGAUGGCGAAGGCAGGUCUCUGGGCAGUAACUGACGCUGAGGAGCGAAAGCAUGGGUAGCGAACAGGAUUAGAUACCCUGGUAGUCCAUGCCGUAAGCGGUGGGCGCUAGGUGUAGGGGGCUUCCACGUCUUCUGUGCCGUAGCUAACGCAUUAAGCGCCCCGCCUGGGGAGUACGGCCGCAAGGCUA